CCUACGGGAGGCAGCAGUAGGGAAUAUUGCUCAAUGGGGGAAACCCUGAAGCAGCAACGCCGCGUGGAGGAUGACGGUUUUCGGAUUGUAAACUCCUUUUGUUAGAGAAGAUAAUGACGGUAUCUAACGAAUAAGCACCGGCUAACUCCGUGCCAGCAGCCGCGGUAAUACGGAGGGGGCAAGCGUUACUCGGAAUAACUGGGCGUAAAGAGCGCGUAGGCGGGAUAGCAAGUCAGAUGUGAAAUCCUAUGGCUUAACCAUAGAACUGCAUUUGAAACUGUUAUUCUAGAGUAUGGGAGAGGUAGGUGGAAUUCUUGGUGUAGGGGUAAAAUCCGUAGAGAUCAAGAGGAACACUCAUUGCGAAGGCGACCUGCUAGAACAUAACUGACGCUGAGGCGCGAAAGCGUGGGGAGCGAACAGGAUUAGAUACCCCUGUAGUC
rnacentral:rRNA from 1 species